rnacentral:rRNA from 1 species
CCUACGGGGGGCAGCAGUUAGGAAUCUUGCGCAAUGGGCGAAAGCCUGACGCAGCAACGCCGCGUGGGGGAUGAAGGCUCUCGGGUUGUAAACCCCUUUCAGCAGGGACGAAAAUGACGGUACCUGCAGAAGAAGGACCGGCCAACUACGUGCCAGCAGCCGCGGUAAUACGUAGGGUCCGAGCGUUGUCCGGAUUCAUUGGGCGUAAAGAGCUCGUAGGCGGCUCAGUAAGUCGGAUGUGAAAACUCAGGGCUCAACCCGGAGACGCCAUCCGAUACUGCUGUGGCUUGAGUCUGGUAGGGGAACACGGAAUACCUGGUGUAGCGGUGAAAUGCGCAGAUAUCAGGUGGAACACCGAUGGCGAAGGCAGUGUUCUGGGCCAGUACUGACGCUGAGGAGCGAAAGCGUGGGUAGCAAACAGGAUUAGAUACCCCAGUAGU